rnacentral:rRNA from 1 species
AGACGUUUGACGUCCUGGCUACAGGACACGCUGGCGGCGUGCGUUAACACAUGCAAGUCGAACGAUGAAGCCCAGCUUGCUGGGUGGAUUAGUGGCGAACGGGUGAGUAACACGUGAGUAACCUGCCCUUGACUCUGGGAUAAGCACUGGAAACGGUGUCUAAUACCGGAUAUUUCAGCUGGCCGCAUGGUCUGGUUGUGGAAAGAAUUUUGGUCAAGGAUGGACUCGCGGCCUAUCAGGUAGUUGGUGAGGUAAUGGCUCACCAAGCCUACGACGGGUAGCCGGCCUGAGAGGGUGACCGGCCACACUGGGACUGGGACACGGCCCAGACUCCUACGGGAGGCAGCAGUGGGGAAUAUUGCACAAUGGGCGAAAGCCUGAUGCAGCAACGCCGCGUGAGGGACGACGGCCUUCGGGUUGUAAACCUCUUUUAGUAGGGAAGAAGCGAAAGUGACGGUACCUGCAGAAAAAGCACCGGCUAACUACGUG